rnacentral:rRNA from 1 species
GGGCCCGCACAAGCGGUGGAGCAUGUGGUUUAAUUCGAUGAUACGCGAGGAACCUUACCAGGGCUUAAAUGUAGUGGGACAGGUCUAGAGAUAGACCCUUCUUCGGACUCAUUACAAGGUGCUGCAUGGUUGUCGUCAGCUCGUGCCGUGAGGUGUCAGGUUAAGUCCUAUAACGAGCGCAACCCCUUAUCGUUAGUUGCCAGCGAGUAAUGUCGGGAACUCUAACGAAACUGCCGGUGUAAACCGUGAGGAAGGUGGGGAUGACGUCAAAUCAUCACGGCCCUUACGUUCUGGGCUACACACGUGCUACAAUGGCCGGUACAGAAAGCAGCCACUAUGCGAAUAGGAGCUAAUCUUUAAAAACCGGUCUCAGUUCGGAUCGCAGUCUGCAACUCGACUGCGUGAAGCUGGAAUC